GAUGAACGCUGGCGGCGUGCCUAAAACAGCAAAUUGAGCGAACAGACGGGGAGCUUUCUCCUCUGACCUUAGGGGCGGACGGGGGAGUAACAAGUUGAUAAACUACCUAUAAGACUGGGGUAAAUUUGGGAAACCCGGGCUAAAACCCGAUAAAAUAUUGAAACGCCAGGUUCAAUAAUGAAAGACGGUUUUGCCGUCACUUAUAGAUGGAUCCGCGCCGCAUUAGCUAGUUGGUAAGGUAACGGCUUACCAAGGCAACGAUGCGUAGCCGACCUGAGAGGGUGAUCGGCCACACUGGAACUGAGACACGGUCCAGACUCCUACGGGAGGCAGCAGUAGGGAAUCUUCCGCAAUGGGCGAAAGCCUGACGGAGCAACGCCGCGUGAGUGAUGAAGGUCUUCGGAUCGUAAAACUCUGUUAUUAGGGAAGAACAAAUGUGUAAGUAACUAUGCACGUCUUGACGGUACCUAAUCAGAAAGCCACGGCUAACUACGUG
rnacentral:rRNA from 1 species